UACGGAGGGUGCGAGCGUUGUCCGGAAUCACUGGGCGUAAAGAGCGUGUAGGCGGUUAGGUAGGUCCGUUGUGAAAACUCGAGGCUCAACCUCGAGACGCCGAUGGAAACCAUCUAACUAGAGUCCGGAAGAGGAGAGUGGAAUUCCUGGUGUAGCGGUGAAAUGCGCAGAUAUCAGGAAGAACACCCGUGGCUAAGGCGGCUCUCUAGUACGGUACUGACGCUGAGACGCGAAAGCGUGGGGAGCGAACAGG
rnacentral:rRNA from 1 species